UACGUAGGGGGCAAGCGUUGUCCGGAUUAUUGGGCGUAAAGAGCGCGUAGGCGGCCCUGUAAGUCCGCUGUGAAAGUCAAGGGCUCAACCCUUGGAUGCCGGUGGAUACUGCAGGGCUAGAGUCCGGAAGAGGCGAGUGGAAUUCCUGGUGUAGCGGGUGAAAUGCGCAGAUAUCAGGAGGAACACCGAUGGCGAAGGCAGCUCGCUGGGACGGUACUGACGCUGAGGCGCGAAAGCGUGGGAGCAAACAGG
rnacentral:rRNA from 1 species